CUGCCAUUUUAUUGAUUUCAUUACCAGGCUCUUAAAAAAGAGGAAAAAUUACAGAAUUAGACCAUCAUCUCUUACUUUGUCUAGUUCUGAAUAAGAAUGGAUCAGGCCAAGGAUUUAGCUCAGUGGUUCCGCCGCCUGCCUGGCAAGUGCAAGGUCCCGAGUUCAAUCCCCAGUACCAAAAAAAAAAAAAAAAGAGAGAGAGAGAACUGAUGCCCACAUGGCUCAAGAUGUCUUUGGAACUUUCUCAGCAAGAGUCGCCUUGCAGUUUAAUAUUAAUAUUGAAAGCAUCUAUUGCCCACAUCAGACUCGGUUAAGUGGGCAGAAUUCCUUGUGCCACCAUCCUUAGUUUAUUCUCCUUUAACUCUUCAAUCCAUUGAAAAGUGGGGGAAAAAAGGUAGAAUGGAAUAUCCCUGCAUUUUAAAAUGAAUCAGUUAUGCAAAAGAUGUUCACCUUUUGUUUAAAUGCCCUGGCAAAGCUACCAAACUGGAAAUCUGAUAUUUUUACUUUGAAGUGUCUUUCUAUGAUUUUGCAAGCCACGACGGCUUUACCAUUGCUAAGUUGCUUCAGCUUGUGUUUUAACAAUAGCGAUUCCAAGGAGCUCAUUCAAAACUCUCUUUGCACUGCCUUCUGCCAGACUGCCGGAAUGUACAAAUGAGUGACAACUUCUAUCUAGUGCUUGAGUGCAUGAACCUUUAAUCCACCCACAAACUUCUAACACCAUACGAAUAUAUACACAUCCCUCUGAACACAUCUUCACGCACAUGACUGUCCUCUCGUGACCCAUUCAGAUGCCAACUUUGAAGCCAGUGGAAUAUAUUUCCUACUCUCAUCCAGAUUUUAUGGCUAUAAUUUGGCUACUGACAAGAUUCUAAAUUUGUUUUGACUUAAAUGGAAGCUACAUUUCCUGUUGCAUCGAAGAGCCAAGCUGGGCAGCCUGAACUGACUCCCUCAAGCUGCCAAGGAAACCGAGCAAGAGGGUGGGCUGGGAGGGCCACCCUCCUCAUGCAUGCCUGCGUACAUAUCUACAUGCAUGCAUCGGUAUGUACAAGCAGCCACCAGUUUCUUCAAGAAGGGCAGAUUUCUGGGGAAAGGGCAGAAGCGGGAAGGGGAAGAAGAAACCGAAAAAGAUUCUGCUCUGUCCUCACCUUCCACCUUUUCUUUUCCCCAGAAAUUAGUGCCUACUUGAUUGUUUGCAGCUGCUUGGAACCUCAAGGUUUGUUCCCAGUAGCAAGGGAGACUCGCGCUUCCAGAACUGAAAAGCCAUUCUAGCGCCAGGACGUUCCUGCUUCGAGUUUGGGGGAAAGGUAUUUCCCUCCCUUCCAGCAGAUCGCCAGCCCUCCACCCCGGGCUCAAAGCCUUGUGAACCUCGGUGCCACACGUGUUUACACCCCGGCCCUUCGGCUCUCCGCACGGUGCCCCGUGCGGAGUGUGGCCCUGACAUCCCAAAGCCGAUCUCCCGCCUGGGAGAGACCUGAAAGGUCCCGGGGCCUCACUGGAGCUCCUCGCCUUCCCUCCUGCAGUCCCACUGGGCCUUACACUUCCUGCCACCUGCCCGCGCCACGCGCCGUCCCC
rnacentral:lncRNA from 1 species